rnacentral:rRNA from 1 species
UGCAGUCGAGCGGAGAUGUUGGAGCUUGCUCCAACAUCUUAGCGGCGGACGGGUGAGUAACACGUGGGCAACCUGCCCUGCAGAUCGGGAUAACUCCGGGAAACCGGUGCUAAUACCGAAUAGUUUGCGGCCUCUCAUGAGGCCACACGGAAAGACGGUUUCGGCUGUCACUGCAGGAUGGGCCCGCGGCGCAUUAGCUAGUUGGUGAGGUAACGGCUCACCAAGGCCACGAUGCGUAGCCGACCUGAGAGGGUGAUCGGCCACACUGGGACUGAGACACGGCCCAGACUCCUACGGGAGGCAGCAGUAGGGAAUCUUCCGCAAUGGACGAAAGUCUGACGGAGCAACGCCGCGUGAGUGAAGAAGGUUUUCGGAUCGUAAAACUCUGUUGUGAGGGAAGAACAAGUACCAAGUAACUACUGGUACCUUGACGGUACCUCACCAGAAAGCCACGGCUAACUACGUGCCAGCAGCCGCGGUAAUACGUAGGUGGCAAGCGUUGUCCGGAAUUAUUGGGCGUAAAGCGCGCGCAGGCGGUCCUUUAAGUCUGAUGUGAAAGCCCACGGCUCAACCGUGGAGGGUCAUUGGAAACUGGGGGACUUGAGUGCAGAAGAGGAAAGUGGAAUUCCACGUGUAGCGGUGAAAUGCGUAGAGAUGUGGAGGAACACCAGUGGCG